UAAUUGAAGAGUUUGAUCAUGGCUCAGAUUGAACGCUGGCGGCAGGCCUAACACAUGCAAGUCGAGCGGCAGCACRAGKGAGUUUACUCMUGAGGUGGCGAGCGGCGGACGGGUGAGUAAUGCCUAGGGAUCUGCCCAGUCGAGGGGGAUAACAGUUGGAAACGACUGCUAAUACCGCAUACGCCCUACGGGGGAAAGAGGGGGACCUUCGGGCCUCUCGCGAUUGGAUGAACCUAGGUGGGAUUAGCUAGUUGGUGAGGUAAUGGCUCACCAAGGCGACGAUCCCUAGCUGUUCUGAGAGGAUGAUCAGCCACACUGGGACUGAGACACGGCCCAGAC
rnacentral:rRNA from 1 species